rnacentral:sRNA from 1 species
GUACCGCUCUCUGGACUCAAUCUCUGCUUUUGAAUUCAUGACUUUUUUUACCUCCCACUUUUGAAUCGCCAGUAGCUAUCAUUUAUGCUGUACAUGUAUUUAAAAGCUAAGGACCAUCCUGGUUGAUCUAUUUAAACCAUACACAUAACGAAUUAAUUUUGUGGAUUUUUUUGAUCCGGUAUUAGCAACCUACUUUAAAUCUACAUCCUUAUUUUACCGACAUUUUCCAUCCUUUUGCCUUCCCGGUAAAAUGUAUGUUUUGAAUACUCAUACACAUGUGGAGCAUGUGUGUAGUUUAAAUUUACUUCAAUACCCGGUAUAUGAUUGACAAGUGUGUUAUGCUAAUCAUUGGAGAAGGGGAUGCCUGAAUAUACUUGUAUUCCCCCAUAAGCUGUACCUUUCCAUAUGUAUUAUAUAUGAACUUAUAAUAUUUACAUGUAAACAAUUCUACUUAUCAUAAUAGAAUUUACUUAAGAAGGGUAUACACCAACAUAUGUACACAAUAUAUUGUUAUGAAGCAUUAUUGACAAAAAUAUACUAGAAUAUAAGCCUGUAGGCACCUUUCGUUUUCCAUAUCUUUUCGUUUUGGAUGAUAAAAAUCUUCUAAGAAUUCUGAAGAGAUAUGAAUCUCCUCUCAUAUCCCCCCCCCACUAAUGUCAGCCAAUUCCAUGAACAUCUUAUCUGUGAAGAAACAUUAUUUACAUGCAAAUUAUUGUUGUUGAUUCAUUCAGUAUCAUUCUGGAUUUUUCUUCUUACUGUAUCCCAAUCAAGCAAAACAGCUAGAAAAUUAUUAAACACAGAUUAUCUGAAAAUGUUGCUUUGGAAUACUGUUAAUUGACACAAUUACAAUGGAAGUCUAGAUUACUAUAUUGUCUGUUUGUUCGUUAUGGGGUAUGGCCAGUGAAAUGAAGAUUGUUGUAUCAUGUUGAAACAUAUCUCUGUUUCUGGUUUGGAUUUACUGAUAAUUAUAUGUCUUUUAUUUCGAGAAGCUGGUUGAAAAAAAAACUAUAGAAAACAAAUAAAUACAUGUAUUUUAUUUAUC